UACGUAGGCAGCGAGCGUUGUUCGGAAUUACUGGGCGUAAAGAGUGUGUAGGCGGUGCUCUAAGUUCGGUGUGAAAUCUCCUGGCUUAACUGGGAGGGUGCGCCGGAAACUGGAGUGCUUGAGCGUGGGAGAGGAAAGCGGAAUUCCUGGUGUAGCGGUGAAAUGCGUAGAUAUCAGGAGGAAUACCGAUGGCGAAGGCAGGUCUCUGGGCUGACACUGACGCUCAUGCACGAAAGCGUGGGGAGCAAACAGG
rnacentral:rRNA from 1 species